rnacentral:rRNA from 1 species
UGCCUAGCCGUAAACCAUAACUUACACUCAAAUCGCCAGGGAAUUACGAGCUAAAAGCUUAAAACCCAAAGGACUUGACGGUACCCCACAUCCCCCUAGAGGAGCCUGUUCUAUAAUCGAUAAUCCACGUUUAACCUCACCACUUUUAGCUUAUCAGCCUGUAUACCUCCGUCGUCAGCUUACCACGUGAGCGACCAAUAGUGAGCUUAAUGUCCGCCCGUCAAAACGUCAGGUCAAGGUGCAGCUUAUAAAGUGGGAAGAGAUGGGCUACACUCUCUAAUUUAGAAAAUACGAAAGACUAUUUAUGAAAUUUAGUCGGAAGGCGGAUUUAGAAGUAAAAAGAGACAAGAACACUCUUUUUAACCCGGCACUGGGGUGUGUACACACCGCCCGUCACCCUCCUCAAAGCCGAUAAAGCAGUAUCUAACUCAUUUAAGCUAAAUAGAAGAGGCAAGUCGUAACAUGGUAAGCGCACCGGAAGGUGUGCUUGGAAA